rnacentral:rRNA from 1 species
AAAUUGAAGAGUUUGAUCAUGGCUCAGAUUGAACGCUGGCGGCAGGCCUAACACAUGCAAGUCGAACGGUAACAGGAAGAAGCUUGCUUCUUUGCUGACGAGUGGCGGACGGGUGAGUAAUGUCUGGGAAACUGCCUGAUGGAGGGGGAUAACUACUGGAAACGGUAGCUAAUACCGCAUAACGUCGCAAGACCAAAGAGGGGGACCUUCGGGCCUCUUGCCAUCGGAUGUGCCCAGAUGGGAUUAGCUUGUUGGUGGGGUAACGGCUCACCAAGGCGACGAUCCCUAGCUGGUCUGAGAGGAUGACCAGCCACACUGGAACUGAGACACGGUCCAGACUCCUACGGGAGGCAGCAGUGGGGAAUAUUGCACAAUGGGCGCAAGCCUGAUGCAGCCAUGCCGCGUGUAUGAAGAAGGCCUUCGGGUUGUAAAAGUACUUUCAGCGGGGAGGAAGGGAGUAAAGUUAAUACCUUUGCUCAUUGACGUUACCCGCAGAAGAAGCAGCGGCUAACUCCGUGCCAGCAGCCGCGGUAAUACGGAGGGUGCAAGCGUUAAUCGGAAUUACUGGGCGUAAAGCGCACGCAGGCGGUUUGUUAAGUCAGAUGUGAAAUCCCCGGGCUCAACCUGGGAACUGCAUCUGAUACUGGCAAGCUUGAGUCUCGUAGAGGGGGUAGAAUUCCGGUGUAGCGGUGAAAUGCGUAGAGAUCUGGAGGAAUACCGGUGGCGAAGGCGGCCCCUGGACGAAGACUGACGCUCAGGUGCGAAAGCGUGGGGAGCAAACAGGAUUAGAUACCCUGGUAGUCCACGCCGUAAACGAUGUCGACUUGGAGGUUGUGCCCUUGAGGCGUGGCUUCCGGAGCUAACGCGUUAAGUCGACCGCCUGGGGAGUACGGCCGCAAGGUUAAAACUCAAAUGAAUUGACGGGGGCCCGCACAAGCGGUGGAGCAUGUGGUUUAAUUCGAUGCAACGCGAAGAACCUUACCUGGUCUUGACAUCCACGGAAGUUUUCAGAGAUGAGAAUGUGCCUUCGGGAACCGUGAGACAGGUGCUGCAUGGCUGUCGUCAGCUCGUGUUGUGAAAUGUUGGGUUAAGUCCCGCAACGAGCGCAACCCUUAUCCUUUGUUGCCAGCGGUCCGGCCGGGAACUCAAAGGAGACUGCCAGUGAUAAACUGGAGGAAGGUGGGGAUGACGUCAAGUCAUCAUGGCCCUUACGACCAGGGCUACACACGUGCUACAAUGGCGCAUACAAAGAGAAGCGACCUCGCGAGAGCAAGCGGACCUCAUAAAGUGCGUCGUAGUCCGGAUUGGAGUCUGCAACUCGACUCCAUGAAGUCGGAAUCGCUAGUAAUCGUGGAUCAGAAUGCCACGGUGAAUACGUUCCCGGGCCUUGUACACACCGCCCGUCACACCAUGGGAGUGGGUUGCAAAAGAAGUAGGUAGCUUAACCUUCGGGAGGGCGCUUACCACUUUGUGAUUCAUGACUGGGGUGAAGUCGUAACAAGGUAACCGUAGGGGAACCUGCGGUUGGAUCACCUCCUUA